AGUUGCGCCCGAGGCCUCGGCCGAGGGCACGUCUGCUUGGGCGUCGCACUCCAAAAUCGCCCUCCCGCACGGAGGAGCGGAGAUGGCCGUCCGUGCUCGCCAGCGGCGCGGUCGGCUGAAAUGAGCACGAGGUCCCUCGCCCCGUCGCGACGAGCGGUGGCCUAUGCGGGUCGGCGUUGGUUUGUGCGGGUCGAGCGAGGCCAAGUGUGGAACUUCAACCGGGCCACAGCGGCCUGCCAGCGUGUGGGUAAAAUGUGCUUGGCCCCUUUGCCGCGUCCCCAAGUCAGGCGUGAAUACCCGCUGAGUUUAAGCAUAUCACUAAGCGGAGGAAAAGAAACUUACCAGGAUUCCCCUAGUAACGGCGAGCGAACCGGGAAGAGCCCAGCAUGAAAAUCGGCGGCUUCGCCUGCCGAAUUGUAG
rnacentral:rRNA from 1 species